rnacentral:rRNA from 1 species
UACGUAGGGUGCAGGCGUUAAUCGGAAUUACUGGGCGUAAAGCGUGCGCAGGCGGUUUGCUAAGACAGGUGUGAAAUCCCCGGGCUUAACCUGGGAACUGCGCUUGUAACUGGCAAGCUUGAGUGUGGCAGAGGGGGGUGGAAUUCCGACGUGUAGCAGUGAAAUGCGUAGAGAUGUGGAGGAACACCGAUGGCGAAGGCAGCUUCUUGGCUCAUUUCUGACGUUGAUGCACGAAAGCGUGGGGAGCAAACAGG